AAAAAUUUAGUUAAAAUAUAAUAUUAAUUUGUCAAAUUAAAGUUAUUUAAAUUUAAAUAAUUUUUA
rnacentral:tRNA from 1 species